rnacentral:rRNA from 1 species
CUACUUGCAAUGAAUUGGACUUUAUUUGCGCAGUAUAGGUGGGAGGCUUUGAGUAAAUUCUUGCGGGAAUUUAGGAGCCAUCAGUGAGAUACCACUCUGGUAAUGUUAGAUUUCUAACUUUGCAUCAUAAUCUGGUCAAAGAACAGUUUCAGGCGGGCAGUUUGACUGGGGCGGUCGCCUCCCAAAGGGUAACGGAGGCGUACAAAGGUUUCCUCUGAACGUGUAGAAAUCGUAUCUAGAGUGUAAAGGCAUAAGGAAGCUUGACUGUGAGACCUACAAGUCGAGCAGGGACGAAAGUCGGUCUUAGUGAUCUGACGGUGCUGAGUGGAAAGGCCGUCACUCAACGGAUAAAAGUUACUCUAGGGAAACCAGGCUGAA